rnacentral:piRNA from 1 species
UAAGAUAGAAAUAAUCAUUCAGGUACCACA